AAGCUACUUGGGAGGCAGAGGUUGUAGUGAGCCGAGAUCAUGCCACUGCACUCAAGCCUGGGUGACAAAGCAAGGCUCCAUCUCAAAACAAAAACAAACAAAAGCAAUAAUUGUCCCUUAUGCUAACUCUCCUGUUUGAUUUGUAUUUCCAACGUGAACAGAAAGGCUUUUGGAAGGCGUAGGCUGGGGCUGGCCUGGGAACCCCUUACUCCCCAUCCCCCACCCUGACCAACAGCCUGGAGUCCAGCUUGGCUGGGCAGCGGAAGAUCACGGGCACUGAGGGGUGAGUGGCUGCCGCGUCUCCCCAAGCACUGCCCACCUGUGAGGUCACCGUCUGGCAGGGGCGCCAGCACGGGCUCCCAGCCACGGGGCAGCCCCCACCCUGCGAACUCCAGAGGCCAGGCUGCACCAAAGGCCUUGGCUACAGCCUCCACACCUGGCACAGGCGCUGUGCAGCCAACCACUGCCCACAACCAAGCAGCGGGCGGCCACGGGGGACUCCUGCCUCCUGGGUCCUCAGCUCUCUUGGUCUAGCGCUCACACACGCAUCUCAGAUUUCCGCCCCAAAACUUCCAUCCCCCCUGCUACCCCCUAAAACCACCACCUUCCGGGCACGGCCGCGACAGACUCCAGGACUGCACACCGUAGUUCCUUUUCCGUCUCUACCUCGCCAGGGUGAGGCCACCAGGGUCCCCACCGAUCGAUCCCCACUCGACACCCCUCCAAAGUCCAGGCCACGGGUCUAGCCACCUCCCAGACGUCCUGGCCGCGCUCCCCCUCACCUGCUCCUCCUCCCUGGUCCCCCAAGUCAUCCCUCCAGUGGCCGACUUGGAGAAUCACCCUUUAUGAUCCCUGCCAGCCUCGCCUUUCCUGCCGUCUCUGAAUUUUCUCCGGCUGCCCCCCAAACGCACUCGGUUUCACGUGUCCGGGCCUUUGCACACGCCCUGCCCCGUACCUGGCGCACCCUUCCCGCUUCCUACAACACUUGGCAAACUCCUGCUCCUCUGGCAAAGCCUCAGCCCCAAAGUCCCCCUCCUCCUGGCUCCUGUCUGAGAUGCCCCAGCCUAGGGACCGCGGGGAGGCUGGGCCGGGGUCUGGGACGUGAAGUGGUGCAGGGGUGGAGGCAGCAGGAAACGCGUUGGCGUGAAAGGACGGGUGCACGUGAGCGUGCCGGGGGUCCACGUGCGGCGCCCCGGGGCUCGCCCCCUCUUCCGUCCAGGCCCCGCCGCCGCCGUCAGACCCUCGGCUGCACCUCCCGCCCCCAAGCUUGCAGACUUGCCGGGAGAGGGGCGGGGCCGCAGCGCCUCCGCGCUUGCGCCUGCGCACUCGGCCCAGCCGGGCUGAAGUCCCGCCUCCUGGAGGCUGCCUCCGCUGCUACUGGGGCACGCAGAUGAGCGAGCGGUGCUGCAGACAACAUCCUUCUUCCUCCUCUCCACCCGCCUAGUGAGGGGGCGGCGGCGCCCUGGGGCCCUCGCCCUGACCUCAGGCCGGGCGCCGGUGACCCGCACCCCCAUCCUGAGCCCCUAGGGGACGUCCGCGCCAGAGACGGGGGCCGCCUGACUGGGCAUCCGCCUUCCUGACGUGGGCGUGGGAUGAUUUGGGGUUGACUGGGCGUUGGGAGGGGCAGAGGGUUCUCAGAAAGAUGCUCCCAGGGCCACUCCCGGGACCUGUGCCCUCUGCCAGUGCUGGGGCCCCUAGAGAUGGGAUAAGGGGUGGAGGUCACAUCACUGAACAAACACCGCAAAUCCUCUGAACCAAGUGAUGUUUCUUUUUGGGCCUCUGUUAUCCCAUCUAUAAAAUGGGAACUCAAUUACUUCUAACGCAAAGCAACUCUUGUUACCUGAGGAAAUACAGGUUUAUUUUUUGUUUUUUGUUUCUGUUUUUUAAAGACAUGAGGCCGGCGAGGUGGCUCACACUUGCAAUCCCAGCACUUUGGGAGGCCGAG